GAUGAACGCUAGCUACAGGCUUAACACAUGCAAGUCGAGGGGCAUCAUGCGGAUUGCUUGCGAUCCGUGAUGGCGACCGGCGCACGGGUGAGUAACGCGUAUCCAACCUUCCCGCUGCAGGGGGAUAACCCGGUGAAAGCCGGACUAAUACCCCAUAAUCCCCGUUGACGGCAUCCGAUUCGGGGCAAAGUUUUUUUUCGGCAGCGGAUGGGGAUGCGUCCGAUUAGUUAGUUGGUGAGGUAACGGCUCACCAAGGCUUUGAUCGGUAGGGGUUCUGAGAGGAAGGCCCCCCACAUUGGGACUGAGACACGGCCCAAACUCCUACGGGAGGCAGCAGUGAGGAAUAUUGGUCAAUGGGCGCAAGCCUGAACCAGCCAAGUAGCGUGGAGGACGACUGCCCUAUGGGAUGUAAACUCCUUUUAUGCGGGGAUAAAAUGUUUCACGUGUGAGAUAUUGCAGGUACCGCGUGAAUAAGGACCGGCUAAUUCCGUGCCAGCAGCCGCGGUAAUACGGAGGGUCCGGGCGUUAUCCGGAUUUAUUGGGUUUAAAGGGAGCGCAGACUGCUUGUCAAGCGUGCAGUGAAACGCCGUGGCCCAACCACGGUCCUGCUGCGCGAACUGGCUUGCUUGAGUGGGCCGUAGGUACGCGGAAUUCGUGGUGUAGCGGUGAAAUGCUUAGAUAUCACGAGGAACUCCGAUUGCGAAGGCAGCGUACCAUAUCCCAACUGACGUUUAGGCUCGAAGGUGCGGGUAUCGAACAGGAUUAGAUACCCUGGUAGUCCGCACAGUAAACCAUGGAUGCUCGCUGUCGGCGAUAAAUUGCCGGUGGCCUAGCGAAAGCGUUAAGCAUCCCACCUGGGGAGUACGCCGGCAACGGUGAAACUCAAAGGAAUUGACGGGGGCCCGCACAAGCGGAGGAACAUGUGGUUUAAUUCGAUGAUACGCGAGGAACCUUACCCGGGCUUGAAUUGCAGACGCAGGAUACAGAGAUG
rnacentral:rRNA from 1 species